GUCUCGAUAGCUAAGUGGUAUAGCAUGCGAUUGCAGUUGUUAGAACCUAUCGCAGGGUCCGGUGUUCGAACCACCGUCGGGACU
rnacentral:tRNA from 1 species